rnacentral:rRNA from 1 species
UACGAAGGGGGCUAGCGUUGUUCGGAUUUACUGGGCGUAAAGCGCACGUAGGCGGGUCGUUAAGUCAGGGGUGAAAUCCCGGAGCUCAACUCCGGAACUGCCUUUGAUACUGGCGACCUUGAGGCUGGAAGAGGUUAGUGGAAUUCCCAGUGUAGAGGUGAAAUUCGUAGAUAUUCGCAAGAACACCAGUGGCGAAGGCGGCUCACUGGCCCGAAACUGACGCUGAGGCACGAAAGCGUGGGGAGCAAACAGG